AUCUAAUUGACGAGUGCCAACUAGGACAAAACGCACGUCCUGGAU
rfam:Schistosoma curassoni strain Dakar, Senegal genome assembly, scaffold: SCTD_scaffold0000154